GUGGGGCUGUUUAACUGCCUAAGAGGACAGGCCUUCUCCCGGUCUGAAACAGGUUUUUGGGGCCAAGAAAAGUUCUAACCUGAGGCCAGCAGAGAGGGAAGACUGUCCUCUGAUGACAUCCUUGUUAUUGUUUAACAGCUAAGAUGCUGAAAUUCAUUCUAUACAUCGAUGCAGAGAAGACAAUUUAGUUAAAAAAAAACUAAUGUUGCCUGCAAAUUAUGAAUCAAAACUUCCCAAUCUGGCAACACUGGAGAAACUGAAAACUGUCCAAUAUUACUUAUUAACUUGUAAGUUAAAGGUCAUGCCAGAAAUAUUGCACGAGUGAGACCCUUUCUCUGCAGAGGCAGCACUGAAAUAUACAGUUUUAUAACCUUUUAAAUAGAUUAAUGUUCUUUCUGGUGUUAAGAAAAAAAUUAUCAGUUAUUUCAUUGUCUGGUUUUUGAUUCUUCCUGCUCAGGUCAUCUGCUUUGUCGGCUUUUGGGGUCUCCAUGGUUUUGUAUUUUUUUAGCCUAUUUAUUAAACAUUUAACCCCUUAAUGAACCACUUUGGCUCUAAAAUGAUCUAAAUUAUCAUCUAAUUAAAGCCAAAACAUAAGUGAUAUUUUUUGUUUUCAUAGCUGAAAACAAAUUCAGGCGUUAAGAGGUUAAUCUGGUCUCGGGUUUAUUUGGGUUCAGCACCACUAGUUUAUAGAACGUGUUUGUAUAGGGUUUUUUAAGGAAAGAACAUACUGGUAUUCUGCAACAGGAAAAGUCAAUUUGAGUGCGUUUAUGUAUGUGUGUUGGUCUUUUGUAUCUAUGUAUGUCUGCAUUUAGGUGUGAUUUUUUUUUUUUUUUUUUUUAAUGUAUAUAUGUUUGUGCAAUGUGAGUUUGAAUUCUGAAAGUCCUGCAGGAGUCCUCCGUGUCUCUGCUGAUCUACAGGCCUGUGUCAUGGAAAAGUGGCUCUGCAGACACACCCAUGUUUGUUGGUUUCUCUGUAAAUUCCUGUGUCUUCACGCCUCAAGAAGUGCAGAUAUCAUCUCCUCUUUGACGUCCAGACUCAUUUCUGUUCCUGAUCUCUUCAAAUGUUUAGUGUCUUUCAUUCACCUGCUCAGAGCGCCACGCCUGGACCUGUUCCCCCUGACGGUCCUGGACCCUCCUGCUGAGGAGGGGAGGGGGGCUCACUCUGACACCUCCAGCGCCGCCCGGACAAGUCUGAAGAAGGUGUUGUCACUCUGCAGAACUGGAUCCUAAAACAUGCAACACACAGAGUUUUGAAUGAAACGUUUUCUGUUUUGCAAGAAAAUGAAUCAAGAGAAAGUUUACAAAAUAAGCUCAGUUUAAGAGCUUCUUGAUGAGAUGACUCCUCUGGGGGGUUAACGACAGUAAAAAUGUUUGCCUCUUGA